AACUAGCCCGGAUUGAAACGGCAUCCUUUUUUGAGGAGGAACGAGGAGAAAAAGAUACAGCCCUUCGACAGGCUCAGGAUAAACUCCAAGCCGGAAAUAGC
rnacentral:misc_RNA from 1 species